rnacentral:rRNA from 1 species
GACGAACGCUGGCGGCGUGCCUAAUACAUGCAAGUCGAACGCUUCUUUCCUCCCGAGUGCUUGCACUCAAUUGGAAAGAGGAGUGGCGGACGGGUGAGUAACACGUGGGUAACCUACCCAUCAGAGGGGGAUAACACUUGGAAACAGGUGCUAAUACCGCAUAACAGUUUAUGCCGCAUGGCAUAAGAGUGAAAGGCGCUUUCGGGUGUCGUUGAUGGAUGGACCCGCGGUGCAUUAGCUAGUUGGUGAGGUAACGGCUCACCAAGGCCACGAUGCAUAGCCGACCUGAGAGGGUGAUCGGCCACACUGGGACUGAGACACGGCCCAGACUCCUACGGGAGGCAGCAGUAGGGAAUCUUCGGCAAAGGACGAAAGUCUGACCGAGCAACGCCGCGUGAGUGAAGAAGGUGUUCGGAUCGUAAAACUCCGUUGUUAGAGAAGAACAAGGACGUUAGUAACUGAACGUCCCCUGACGGUAUCUAACCAGAAAGCCACGGCUAACUACGUG